UUCCAGACUCCUACGGGAGGCAGCAGUGGGGAAUAUUGCACAAUGGGGGAAACCCUGAUGCAGCGACGCCGCGUGAGCGAUGAAGUAUUUCGGUAUGUAAAGCUCUAUCAGCAGGGAAGAAAAUGACGGUACCUGACUAAGAAGCCCCGGCUAACUACGUGCCAGCAGCCGCGGUAAUACGUAGGGGGCAAGCGUUAUCCGGAUUUACUGGGUGUAAAGGGAGCGUAGACGGCUGUGCAAGCCAGAUGUGAAAGCCCGGGGCUCAACCCCGGGACUGCAUUUGGAACUGUGUGGCUGGAGUGUCGGAGAGGCAGGCGGAAUUCCUAGUGUAGCGGUGAAAUGCGUAGAUAUUAGGAGGAACACCAGUGGCGAAGGCGGCCUGCUGGACGAUGACUGACGUUGAGGCUCGAAAGCGUGGGGAGCAAACAGGAUUAGAUACCCCGGUAACA
rnacentral:rRNA from 1 species